GCAAGUCGAGCGCACCUUCGGGUGAGCGGCGGACGGGUUAGUAACGCGUGGGAAUGUACCCUUCUCUACGGAAUAGCCUCGGGAAACUGAGAGUAAUACCGUAUACGCCCUUCGGGGGAAAGAUUUAUCGGAGAAGGAUCAGCCCGCGUCUGAUUAGAUAGUUGGUGGGGUAAUGGCCUACCAAGUCUACGAUCUAUAGCUGGUUUUAGAGGAUGAUC
rnacentral:rRNA from 1 species